rnacentral:rRNA from 1 species
UAGGGAAUCUUCCACAAUGGGCGCAAGCCUGAUGGAGCAACACCGCGUGAGUGAAGAAGGGUUUCGGCUCGUAAAGCUCUGUUGUUAAAGAAGAACACGUAUGAGAGUAACUGCUCAUACGUUGACGGUAUUUAACCAGAAAGUCACGGCUAACUACGUGCCAC